UACCCAAUUGCUCAUGCUCUGGAGUCUGGACUGAGCCCGGAUCUCUCCUGUGCUGCAAGUAAAGACUCUGCUUACAUAGUGCAAAAGAGAGGGAUAGAAAGCGCGCGAGACUACAACUCUGCGAGACCAAACGAGGCAAGGAAGUGAAGGUCUUCUAUGUCGCACUUAACCCGGCGUACCCUCGUUUCUCUUCUUUCUCGAACAAUCAAUUCCUCAUCGUCUCUAUUACCUGUUCGUUCUCGUUUCGCACUCGCAGUACUCGAUAUGCAGCAUCGGUUACCGACUCCCGAGCCAAGGACAAUCCCGAUUCGGUCGAAAACAUCGGCGUCAGGCUACUCGCCCUUGAACGAUCCUUCUCCGAACUGGAGCAACAGACCUCCUAAAGAGACGAUCCUCCUCGAUGGUUGCGACUAUGAGCACUGGCUCAUCGUCAUGGAGUUUCCUGCUGACCCUAAACCCUCCGAGGAGGAGAUGAUCGCUACAUACGUAAAGACCCUUGCUGCUGUUGUCGGGAGUGAAGAGAAGGCCAAAAAGAAAAUCUACUCGGUCUGCACCACCACUUACACGGGUUUUGGUGCUUUGAUAUCUGAAGAGCUUUCUUACAAAGUUAAAGGACUACCUGGUGUUCUUUGGGUAUUGCCGGAUUCGUAUCUUGAUGUGCCCAACAAAGAUUAUGGAGGAGAUUUGUUUAUCGAUGGAAAAGUCAUCCAUAGGCCACAAUUCAGAUUCAACGAGAGACAGCAAACUAGGAACAGACCUCGCCCUCGGUAUGACAGACGUCGUGAAACGAUGCAGGUUGAAAGAAGAGAACCGAUGCAAAGAGACAGCUGGGCCCAAGAUAGGAAAGAACCUGCAACGCAACCAAAUGCAAUGGGAAGACAGGAUUAAUAAGAUAGAGAUUCCUCACUAGAUCAGUGAGAUUUUCAUUGGCGACAACCGACAAUGCCUGAGGAUUAACAGAUAAUUUGCCUAAGUGGAGAACUUACAGUACUAAACUAAGGCCAAUUGAGUAUUCAUAAAUUCUUGAGGUAUAUGGGAGAUUUCAAAUCAUUCUGAGAUUGAAGCAAGAAAUAAAUACCUUCAUGAAUGUCUAUUGGGAAACAUGUGAGAUGUGACUAUAUAGAUGUGGUAUGUUUUU